rfam:Candidatus Gottesmanbacteria bacterium RIFCSPLOWO2_01_FTLL_48_11 rifcsplowo2_01_scaffold_16357, whole genome shotgun sequence.
UUUUUUGAGAGUUUGAUCCUGGCUCAGGAUGAACGCUGGCGGCGUGCCUUAAGCAUGCAAGUCGAACGGAGAUUGUGCAUAGCACUAAGAUAAUUAGUGUUUUGUUGUUUCCCUUGAUUUGUUAUGCGCGAGAGCACUGACCAAAGUCAGUUAUUUUUUGGCGUAUAACAAACGAGUGGAGCAACGAUUAAUUAUUUUUGUGCUAUGCACGAAAUCAGUGGCGGACGGGUGAGUAUAAGCAAGGAACGUACCCCUUAUUGUGACAUAGCUCGUCGAAAGACGGGGUAAUAUCACAUGACCCUUUACGGGGAAAGCGCUUAACCGCGCGAUAAGGGAGCGGCCUUGUCACUAUCAGCUAGUUGGUAGGGUAAUGGCCUACCAAGGCGAUGACGGUUAGGGGGCGUGAGAGCGCGACCCCCCACAAUGGCACUGAGACACGGGCCAUACAUCUACGGAUGGCAGCAACUGGGAAUCGUUGGCAAUGGACGAAAGUCUGACCACGCGACGCCGCGUGAGGGAUGAAGGCUCUCGGGUCGUAAACCUCUUUUGCCGGGGCAUGAAGCCCCGGAGAAUAAGCACCUACAAACUACGUGCCAGCAGUCGCGGUAAUACGUAGGGUGCAAGCGUUAUCCGGAUUCACUGGGCGUAAAGGGUCGUGUAGGUGGUUUGCCGCAUCGUGCCUGAAAGCCCGAGGCUUAACCUCGGCGUUGGGUACGAGAUGGGUAAACUAGAGGGUGAGAGAGGCAAGGGGAACUGACGGUGAAGCAGUGAAAUGCGUUGAUAUCGUCAGGAACACCAAAGGCGAAGGCACCUUGCUGGCUCACUUCUGACACUCAGACACGAAAGCUAGGGGAGCGAAGCAGAUUAGAGACCUGCGUAGUCCUAGCCCUAAACGCAUGUCUGCUAGAUGCCUUUUCGCAAGAUGGGGUGUCGUAAGCUAACGCGUUAAGCAGACCGCCUGGGGAGUACGAUCGCAAGAUUAAAACUCAAAGGAAUUGACGGGGACCCGCACAACCGGUGGAGCGUGUGGUUCAAUUCGAGACAAAGCGAAGGACCUCACCAAGGUUUGACAUGUUACCGUUUUAACCGCCUAGAAACAGGUGGCUAUCCGCAAGGAUGGUAGCACAGCUGCUGCAUGGCUGUCGUCAGCUCGUGCCGUGAGGUGUUCCCUUAAGUGGGAGAACGAGCGCAACCCGUAUGCGAUGUUACAAGUGUCAUCGCAGACUGCGGUGGCUUUCGCCACCGAGGAAGGAACGGACGACGUCAAGUCAGCACGGCGCUUAUACCUUGGGCCACACACACCCUACAAUGGCGAAUAACAAUGGGACGCGAAGCAGUAAUGCGGAGCAAAUCCCCCUAAAUUUCGCCUCAGUUCAGAUUGAGGGCUGCAACCCGCCCUCAUGAAGUCGNNNNNNNNNNNNNNNUCGGAAUCGGUAGUAAUCGCAGAUCAGCAGGCUGCGGUGAAUACGUUCUCGGGUCUUGUACACACCGCCCGUCAAGCCAACAAAGUUGGGCGUACCCGAAUCCCGCUAUGCGGGAGAAGGUAAUUCCAGCGAUGGGGACUAAGUCGUAACAAGGUAUCCCUAGCCGAAGCUGGGGAUGGAUCACCUCCUUU